rnacentral:rRNA from 1 species
AUGAAUGCGAAGGAUGACUUCCAUACAAGCUUGGAUAAGUUUAAUUUUCCAAAUAUCGAUGCACAUCUAGAUGAAAUGUCAGUAUUCAGGGAUGAAGAAGAAUACCACGAAAGAGCAAUAGACCGGAGGAAUCUUGAAGUAGAUUAUUGGCCAGACAAAGCAAUGGACCAACAGAGAACCCAAGAACCAAGCUGCCGUUUGUCACUUCAAGAGAAAUUUGCUGACUGGGGUUCUUGUACCUCCCAUCUGAAGGGUAGCACUCGACGAAACAACCCACCGAGUUGCUCUGUAAUGCGCGAGGAUAAGCCUUUUGAUUCUAUUCCAGAUAUGGAUGGAUUUCAAACUGUGGGAUCAACUGAAUGGAGACCUACAUCAAAAGUUCGUCCUGUUUUCCACAGACCUGACAGUGUGUAUGAUGAGAUUCAUUGGCAGAAUCCUGUUUCAGAUAUAUUUAGCAAUAAAACGGAGUUCUCAGACCCAUUCCAUGCCACGGACCUUCCGAGCAACAUUGAUAUGUGUACUUUCUUGGGACAGAAGGCAGACAAGAAGAAAGAAGAUAAUUCUGACUCUCUCAAGAAAUCAAAUGCAGACAUAUUUCAUUCUGCGAGCUCUGUAAAUGAAACUGUGGUUGGUCAACACACUACAUGUUCUCAGGAGUCUGGCAAGGAUUCACUAAGGCAAGGGUAUGAUCCUAGUAUUGAUUUUCAGGAGUCCAGACUACAUUCAUUCUGGGAAGAUGGCCAUGUUAAUGAUGACACUUUUCAGGGUGAUACUGAGCUGAGUAGCCUGUUGGCAAGAAAAAAUGAUGAGAAGAAUAAAGGCAGGACUUGGAGGCUCAAGAAGCCAGAAACAAAUACGUCGACACAAACAUCUAAACCUUCUGGAGAUUUCAGAAAUGAGAUGAGUGAAGCUGAAACAUGUUCUGAUGGCUCGGAAGUCACCAACUAUCCUGUGGUGCAGAAUGGAACAUCAGCAGCAGCAACGCAACUUCCUGCAAACUUGUGUCUUGAGGAAACCUCAAGAGGAAUGUUUCAAAUUCAUGCUCAAGUUGAUUGUGUAAGAACAAUGUACGUAGCGUGCCCUUCAAAUAUCAGUCUCUACUCAUUUCAUGGACUUACACGGAUGCUCUUUUCAUUCUCCAUUAACAGAGAAAAUCCUAGUGUUGACUUUGAAGCUCCAUUGCAUGUUAGAAACAUUAUUCAUGAUGUUGGAGAUCAUACCAAGGCCAAUCCAAUGUUCCAGUCUCCUUUCAUGGCAGAGAAGGUGGGGAUUGAGAAGAAGGUAAUAUCAGGUGUGUCAUCGAGCAACAGUGAUAUUCAGUUUGAGGUUAUGCUUGAACGUCGUGUUCUCCGACGGUUUUGUGUUCAGAAGAUAGUGGUAGAAACACCAAUGAAGGAUAGGCUAGAUUAUAGAAGUCGGGUAAUGAGUAUCAGUGUUUAUCGGGGAAAUAUUAUAAUUAAAUUGUGUGAUUUCAAUGAGCUAAGAGGGUUCGAUUAG